UCCCACGUUGCCCAACAGUGCACACACAGG
rnacentral:piRNA from 1 species